rnacentral:rRNA from 1 species
CUGGUGCACCAGUUGUUCCGCCAGGAGCACAGCUGGGUAGCUAAGUGCGGACGAGAUAAACGCUGAAGGCAUCUAAGCGUGAAACUCACCCUAAGAUGAGAUAUCCCACCAUAAUGGGUAAGACCCCAUGUAGACUACAUGGUUGAUAGGUCGGGGGUGUAAGUAUGGCAACAUAUUUAGCUGACCGAUACUAAUAGGUCGAGGGCUUGACCAAA